rnacentral:lncRNA from 1 species
AGCAAAACUAUGCCAGCCACACAAAAGAAAACACCAAAAAUAUAAAUAUAGGUAAUAGUCUUACUAUACUAGCAUUGAUCAUGAUCUCCCUGAAUUCUGUUGCUCGAUGGUUUGCCGACUUGUAAACAAGCAAUUGGAGGUAGAGUAGGAGUAUACAACUCUCCGAACGUCUGCCAACAAUAUGGAUCAUACAUGUGGUAACGCUCUUGUAUUGGCUUUA